rnacentral:tRNA from 1 species
GAUGAACUGGAAAAAGCAUGAAAGCUCUCUGUUGGAAGUUUUUUCGGACGUGGGUUCGACUCCCACCGCCUCCACCA